GACGAACGCUGGCGGCGUGCUUAACACAUGCAAGUCGAACGGAAAGGCCCUGCUUUUGUGGGGUGCUCGAGUGGCGAACGGGUGAGUAACACGUGAGUAACCUGCCCUUGACUUUGGGAUAACUUCAGGAAACUGGGGCUAAUACCGGAUAGGAGCUCCUGCUGCAUGGUGGGGGUUGGAAAGUUUCGGCGGUUGGGGAUGGACUCGCGGCUUAUCAGCUUGUUGGUGGGGUAGGGGCUUACCAAGGGUUUGACGGGUAGCCGGCCUGAGAGGGUGACCGGGAAAAGUGGGAAAGAGAGAAGGGCCCGAACCCGAAGGGGGGGAGGAGGGGGGAAAAUUGAAAAAAGGGGGGAAGGCGGAAGGAGGAAACGCGGGGGGGGGAGGGAGGGCCUUGGGGGUGAAAACGGUUUUGGCCGGGAAGGAGGGGGAGGGAAGGGAAAGGGGAAAAAAAAAACGGGUAAAUAAGGG
rnacentral:rRNA from 1 species